rnacentral:rRNA from 1 species
GACGAACGCUGGCGGCGUGCCUAAUACAUGCAAGUAGAACGCUGAAGGAGGAGCUUGCUUCUCCGGAUGAGUUGCGAACGGGUGAGUAACGCGUAGGUAACCUGCCUGGUAGCGGGGGAUAACUAUUAGAAACGAUAGCUAAUACCGCAUAACAGUAGAUAUUGCAUGAUAUCUGCUUGAAAGGUGCAAUUGCAUCACUACCAGAUGGACCUGCGUUGUAUUAGCUAGUUGGUGAGGUAACGGCUCACCAAGGCGACGAUACAUAGCCGACCUGAGAGGGUGAUCGGCCACACUGGGACUGAGACACGGCCCAGACUCCUACGGGAGGCAGCAGUAGGGAAUCUUCGGCAAUGGACGGAAGUCUGACCGAGCAACGCCGCGUGAGUGAAGAAGGUUUUCGGAUCGUAAAGCUCUGUUGUAAGAGAAGAACGAGUGUGAGAGUGGAAAGUUCACACUGUGACGGUAUCUUACCAGAAAGGGACGGCUAACUACGUG